rnacentral:rRNA from 1 species
GAUGAACGCUGGCGGCGUGCCUAAUACAUGCAAGUCGAGCGAACGGACGAGAAGCUUGCUUCCCUGAUGUUAUCGGCGGGCGGGUGAGUAACACGUGGAAAACCUCCCUAUAUGACUGGGAUAACAUCGGGAAACCGGAGCUCAUACCGGACAAUCUUUUUAACCGCAUGAUUCAGAAGUGAAAGAAGGUCUUGCUGUCUCUUAUAGAUGGAUCCGCGCUGCUUUAGCUAGUUGGUAAGGUAACGGCUUACCAAGGCAACGAUGCAUAGCCGACCGGGGAGGUUGAUCGCCCCAAUUGGAACUGAGCCCCGCUCCGGCUCCCUACGGAAGCCGGCAGGAGGGAUCCUUCCGCAUUGGGCGAAAGCCUGACGGGGCACCGCCGCGUGAGUGAUGAAGGCUUUCGGUUCGUAAAACUCUUUUAUUAGGGAAAAACAUAUUUGUAAGUAACUGUGCACAUCUUGACGGUACCGAAUCAGAAAGCCACGGCUAACUACGUG